UACGGGGGGGGUAAGCGUUGUUCGGAAUUACUGGGCGUAAAGGGCUCGUAGGUGGCCAACUAAGUCAGACGUGAAAUCCCUCGGCUUAACCGGGGAACUGCGUCUGAUACUGGAUGGCUUGAGUUUGGGAGAGGGAUGUAGAAUUCCAGGUGUAGCGGUGAAAUGCGUAGAUAUCUGGAGGAAUACCGGUGGCGAAGGCGGCAUCCUGGACCAUUACUGACGCUGAGGCGCGAAAGCCAGGGGAGCAAACGGG
rnacentral:rRNA from 1 species